rnacentral:rRNA from 1 species
GACGAACGCUGGCGGCGUGCUUAACACAUGCAAGUCGAGCGGUAAGGCCCUUUCGGGGGUACGACGAGCGGCGAACGGGUGAGUAACACGUGGGUGACCUGCCCUCAGCUCUGGGAUAAGCCUGGGAAACCGGGUCUAAUACUGGAUAUGACUCCAUGACGCAUGUUGGUGGGGUGGAAAGCCUUGUGCGGCUGAGGAUGGGCCCGCGGCCUAUCAGCUUGUUGGUGGGGUGAGGCCUACCAAGGCGACGACGGGUAGCCGGCCUGAGAGGGCGACCGGCCACACUGGGACUGAGACACGGCCCAGACUCCUACGGGAGGCAGCAGGUGGGGAAUCUUGCGCAAUGGGCGAAAGCCUGACGCAGCGACGCCGCGUGAGGGAUGACGGCCUCGGUUGUAACGUACUU